AAAACUUUUCGCUAAUAGAAGAGCCUAUGUAGGAUUAGGUAGUUGGUAUUUUGGGUAAAAGCCUACCAAGCCUAAGAUCCUUAGCUGUUCUGAGAGGUUGAACAGCCACACUGGGACUGAGACAAGGCCCAGGCUCCAUUUGGAGCCAGCAGUGAGGAAUUUUGGACAAUGAGCGAAAGCUUGAUCCAGCAAUACUACAUGAGUGAAGAAGGCUUUCAAGUUGUAACACUCUUUGGUUGAGGAGGAUAAUGACAGUACUCAACAAAAUAGCCCCGGCUAACUUCGUGCCAGCAGCCGCGGUAAGACGAAGGGGGCGAGCGUUAUCCGGAAUGACUGGGCGUAAAGGGUCCGUAGGCAGCAUUUUUUGUUGGAAGUUAAAUAAAAAAGCUUAACUUUUUUCCGCUUCUAAAACGUAAAUGCUUUGAGUUUGAUAGAAGAUAGCAGAAUUUCACAAGGAGGGGUGAUAUCCAGAGAUCUGUGAAGGAAUAUCAGAUGCGAAGGCGGCUAUCUAGAUCAACACUGACGUUGAGGGACGAAAGCAUGGGGAGCAAACAGGAUUAGAUACCCUGGUAGCCCAUGCCCUAAAAGAUGAGUGUUCGUGCUUAGAGAACUUUAGGCACUUAGUUAACACGUUAAACACUCCGCCUGGGGAGUACGAUCGCAAGGUUGGAACUCAAAGGAAUUGACGGGGGCCUAUACAAGUGGUGGAGCAUGUGGUUUAAUGCGAUAAUACGCGCGAAACCUUACCAGUUCUUGACAUAAAAAAGAAAAAGUUUGAAAAAGCAAUUUUAAAGAUUUUUACAGGUGCUGCAUGGCUGUCGUAAGCUCGUGUCGUGAGAUGUUAGGUUAACUCCUUUUAACGGGCGAAACCCCUUUUUUUCGUUGCUACUUAAUUUUAUUUUUAAAGCACUCUAAAAAAACUGCUCCCUUUUUUUAAUUCGGAGAGGAAGGUGGGGAUGACGUCAAGUCCUUAUGGCCCUUAUGAACUGGGCUACACACGUGCUACAAUGGUAAAGACAAUAAGAAGUGAUAGGGUAACCUAAAACCAAUCUUUAAACUUUAUCAAAGUUCGGAUUGUGGACUGCAACUCGUCCAUAUGAAGGUGGAAUCACUAGUAAUCGCACAUCAGCAUGUUGCGGUGAAUUUGUACCUAGGCCUUGUACACACCGCCCGUCACGUGCCGGGAGUCGGC
rnacentral:rRNA from 1 species